CUGCAGGGUCCAAAUGCCAAGCCUGUAGUGUCCUUCAUUGCUGGUUUAACUGCUCCCCCGGGCAGGAGAAUGGGUCACGCAGGAGCAAUUAUUGCUGGAGGAAAAGGUGGAGCUAAAGAGAAGAUUGCUGCCCUUCAGAGUGCAGGAGUUGUAGUCAGCAUGUCUCCUGCACAACUGGGCACCACCAUUUACAAGGAAUUUGAAAAGAGGAAGAUGCUAUGAAAGGAACAAAAACAAAAAGGUCCUAAAACUGUGGAAUGAAUCAUGUAGACUUGUGAACCAUCAGCAGUUUUCUUCUGUUGUCCACUGAUUGUCAGCCUUUGUGCCUGGCCCUGGUCUUUCAGCAUAACAGGAAGCCAAAGUUAAGUUUAGAAUGUCCUAAAUUGAGAUAUUUUCACCUAUUGUGUAACAGAGAUGGCCAAUAAAUCUACCAUUUGAUUUGAAUAU